rnacentral:lncRNA from 1 species
GCAGCUAUUUAGCCUGGGACAUGUCAAAUGUGGUACAUGGAGACAUCGACAUUGGUGGCUGAUGUCAUCACAAUGCACUGAGGGUUAUUUGUGCUAAAUAAGGCAAGACCCACGGCAGGGGGCCAGGGCACUGAGUGGACAGGUGGAUGCCUGAGCCUGGCCGCCAGAGCAUGGGACCAGCCCCCUGGGGAGGCGAAGGCAGCAACAGCCAGUAUGUGGUUCAUGAAGUGCCGGGAAGACUGCUGCCCCUCCCUCAGGGACCAAAAACUCCUGGAGGUCCACCUCCAGACUCCUCUUUGUAAAAACCCACAUUCCCGGUUCACACACGAGUCCCUGGCACCUCCAUGACAUCCCAUCACUCUGUCUUCUUUUUAAUUGACAGAAGGAGACCACUGCCCCAGCACUUGCCCCCUAACAAGCCAUUAACCUCCAGUUGUUUGGCUGGAAAAUGGGACCUUGAUCCCAGAGAGAACUGACUUUGUGUGAAUACUCCUGGUCUGUCCUCCUUAUGCAGGCAGCGCUGGGAUCGAAGUGGAGACCCCCGCAGUGGGUGAACAUCGCAGCAUCCCUGGGAGGGUUCAGCAUGUUUAUCUUGGGCUGAAGGUUGUAAUUAUGAUUUAGGGGAAUGCCACUUUAUAAUGACUUUUUCUUCGUUUCAUGUAAAUUAAGUUCCUAGUGU